rnacentral:rRNA from 1 species
GACGAACGCUGGCGGCGUGCUUAGCACAUGCAAGUCGAACGGAAAGGCCCUGCUUUUGUGGGGUGCUCGAGUGGCGAACGGGUGAGUAACACGUGAGUAACCUGCCCUUGACUUUGGGAUAACUUCAGGAAACUGGGGCUAAUACCGGAUAGGAGCUCCUGCUGCAUGGGGGGGGUUGGAAAGUUUCGGCGGUUGGGGAUGGACUCGCUGGUUAUCAGCUUGUUUGUGGGGUAGGGGCUUACCAAGGCUUUGACGGGUAGCCGGCCUGGGAGGGUGACCGGCCACAUUGGGACUACGAUAGGGCCCAGACUCCAACGGGAGGCAGCAGUGGGGAAUAUGGCACAACGGGCGGAAGCGUGAUGCGGCAACGCCGCGUGCGGGAUGACGGCCUUCGGGUUGUAAACCGAUUUCGCAUGUGACGAAGCGUGAGUGACGGUAAUGGGUAAAGAAGCAACGGCUAACUACGUG